GAAGGAGCAUUGACAAGUUGGGGGAAGAAGAACCCGAAAAAACGCAGGAGGAGCAAUGCCGUUUUAGAUUCCAUUCGCAUUUCCACCUCCUUCAAUUUGCCCAUAAGAGAAAAAAAAAGGAAUCUUUACGCACUGGAUCGAUCGAUCGAUCGAUGGCUCGAUCAUCAUCGGGAUGAAGUAGAUCACCUCCUUCGAUUCUCCGCUUCUCUGGUCAACGAAUUCGUCCUGAAACUUCAGCUCUCUCUCUCCCUCCCCCCCUCGUCUUCGAUCGCGUUCGGUUCCUCGUUCGUGUUCAUCUUGCGAUCCGGGGAUGUCCUGUUCGCGAUUCACAUGGUGUUCUUACUGCAUGGAUGUGGCGGCUGAUGGGGCAUAAAUGGGAAGAGAGGUCUUACUACGAGUUCUCCGCAUAUAUCCAGUUUUUGCUGGGGAUUAACAUCUUGAUAGACAAUGGUCCCGCUAACCUCUUGCCACUCGACCAUAAGCUAUAGGCCAAUACGUCCAUCUGAUCUUGAAAUCUUAGAGAAGAUUCAUGGUGAUUUAUUUCCCAUUAGUUGGAUCUACAGGUAUGAAUCUGAGUUCUUCCAAGAUGUUGCCCAUGGACAUGGAAUAGUGUCUUGGGCAGCCGUUGACCAUAGCCGUGAUGAUGGAAAAGGUGAUGAGCUAAUUGGAUUCAUAACAGUAAGGGUUGUUCUCGCAACGGAAAGUGAGAUCGUGGAUCUGCUUAAAUAUGAUUCUGCAGAAUCAGAAUUGUCAUUAGUCUACAUUCUGACGCUGGGCGUGGUGGAUAGUUACAGGAAUCUUGGAAUAGCCUCUUCGCUUAUUAUUGAGGUUAUCAAGUAUGCCUCUAGCAUCCCAAAUUGUCGAGCUGUUUAUUUGCAUGUGAUAUCUUACAACUUUCCUGCCAUACACCUAUACAAGAAAAUGUCAUUCAAGUGUAUACGGAGAUUGCCGGGUUUUUAUCUGAUUGAUGGCCAGUAUUACGAUUCCUACCUGUUUGUUUACUUUGUAAAAGGCUGUCAGUCUCCUUACUCCCCACUGGAGCUUGUCACAGCCAUCAUGAGAUAUGUACGGAGCGGUUUCCAGUCGAUUUCUGCAAAGCUGUGGAGCAAUGAAAGGAAGGUCGGGUGGAUGGUCCAGAUGUAAUGAAGCUCAUUCUCUAAUGUAGGUGGCACAGAACAAGAGAAUCCUCAAGUCUCAGAGAGCUGGGGAUGAGUGUAUACUAUACUUGACAUGGAUGUCAUCCCUUGCCCAACGACUUGACUGAGGAAGUGAGGCGCAUUCUCCGCUGGCCCAUUGCUGUAGGGGUUACCAGCGAAUGAUGACUAACUAGUUUCAUGAAUGGACCACCAAGCACCUGGCGUGGUGACGAGAGAGGUGGUGACGAGAGAGGGGGUCGGGAAAGGGCUGAGGAAGAUAUAUCAUGGGGUAAAAGUACAGGGACAAAUUCAUCAAUGUAUAGUAGAGCUAUCUCUCUAAGAUACUCUUGAAGUGGCUAUAGGUGCAUUUUCUGUGUAUGGAGGUGUGAUUUGGCUGAGAGUUUCAGGCUUACAUGACCAUGAGCUUUUUCAUAUCAUAUCGCUGAUCUCAUUUCUAGUGAAAGGAUAUUGGAGGAGUCAUUCAUCUUUGAAAAAUCAGUUUCAACA